rnacentral:rRNA from 1 species
GACGAACGCUGGCGGCGUGCUUAACACAUGCAAGUCGAACGGAAAGGCCCUGCUUUUGUGGGGUGCUCGAGUGGCGAACGGGUGAGUAACACGUGAGUAACCUGCCCUUGACUUUGGGAUAACUUCAGGAAACUGGGGCUAAUACCGGAUAGGAGCUCCUGCUGCAUGGUGGGGGUUGGAAAGUUUCGGCGGUUGGGGAUGGACUCGCGGCUUAUCAGCUUGUUGGUGGGGUAGUGGCUUACCAAGGCUUUGACGGGUAGCCGGCCUGAGAGGGUGACCGGCCACAUUGUGACUGAGAUCAGGCCCAGACUCCUACGGGAGGCAGCAGUGGGGAAUAUUGCACAAUGGGCGAAAGCCUGAUGCAGCAACGCCGCGUGCGGGAUGACGGCCUUCGGGUUGUAAACCGCUUUCGCCUGUGACGAAGCGUGAGUGACGGUAAUGGGUAAAGAAGCACCGGCUAACUACGUG